AUGUCCUCUAUGACCGGCAGGGACUGGGACGCCGCAUGCGGGGCCUGUUCUUCUAGGGGUCCUCAAUGGGGUCCUCAAUGGGGUCCUCAAUGGGGCUUCAAUGGGGCUUCAAUGGGGCUUCAAUGGGGGCUUCAAUGGGGCUUCAAUGGGGCCUCAAUGGGGCUUCAAUGGGGGCUUCAAUGGGGCCUCAAUGGAGGCUUCAAUGGGGCUUCAAUGGGGCUUCAAUGGGGGCUUCAAUGGGGCUUCAAUGGGGCCUCAAUGGGGCUUCAAUGGGGGCUUCAAUGGGGCCUCAAUGGAGGCUUCAAUGGGGCUUCAAUGGGGCUUCAAUGGGGACCUCAAUGGGGCUUCAAUGGGGGCUUCAAUGGGGUCCUCAAUGGGGCUUCAAUGGGGGCUUCAAUGGGGCUUCAAUGGGGCCUCAAUGGGGCUUCAAUGGGGGCUUCAAUGGGGCCUCAAUGGAGGCUUCAAUGGGGCUUCAAUGGGGCUUCAAUGGGGACCUCAAUGGGGCUUCAAUGGGGCUUCAAUGGGGGCCUCAAUGGGGCUUCAAUGGGGCUUCAAUGGGGUCCUCAAUGGGGCUUCAAUGGGGCUUCAAUGGGGCUUCAAUGGGGUCCUCAAUGGGGCUUCAAUGGGGCUUCAAUGGGGCUUCAAUGGGGUCCUCAAUGGGGUCCUCAAUGGGGCUUCAAUGGGGGCUUCAAUGGGGCCUCAAUGGGGCUUCAAUGGGGCUUCAAUGGGGUCCUCAAUGGGGCUUCAAUGGGGCUUCAAUGGGGUCCUCAAUGGGGCUUCAAUGGGGCUUCAAUGGGGUCCUCAAUGGGGCUUCAAUGGGGCUUCAAUGGGGUCCUCAAUGGGGCUUCAAUGGGGGCUUCAAUGGGGCCUCAAUGGGGCUUCAAUGGGGGCUUCAAUGGGGCCUCAAUGGGGCUUCAAUGGGGGCUUCAAUGGGGUCCUCAAUGGGGCUUCAAUGGGGGCUUCAAUGGGUCCUCAAUGGGGCCUCAAUGGGGGCUUCAAUGGGGGCUUCAAUGGGGCUUCAAUGGGGCCUCAAUGGGGCUUCAAUGGGGGCUUCAAUGGGGCUUCAAUGGGGGCUUCAAUGGGGGCUUCAAUGGGGUCCUCAAUGGGAGGUUCUCAAUGGGAGGUUCUCAAUGGGGGGUCCUCGAGGUUGGGGGCUGCCCUGAGCAUUGCCAGAGGCAAUAA
rnacentral:lncRNA from 1 species